GGGACGAUGGUUCAAUGGGAGAACGCUGCCCUCGCACGGCAGAGAUCGGGGUUCGACUCCCCGUCGCUCCACCG
rnacentral:tRNA from 1 species